rnacentral:tRNA from 1 species
GGAGAGCACCUGCCUUGCAAGCAGGGGGUCAGGAGUUCGAAUCUCCUUAUCUCCACCA